ACAGCUGACUCUUAAGAAUACUUUUACAGCUUGGUGCCGGUCUGGGGACAGGCAGUGCAAUAGUAGAGCAGAGGAAAUCCAGACGGGUUGUUUCCAUCUGUCCUGGGGCCUGUCUCUACAACUCUGCCACACUC
ensembl:snoRNA